CUUGCUUCUCUGAUGUUAGCGGCGGACGGGUGANUAACACGUGGAUAACCUACCUAUAAGACUGGGAUAACUUCGGGAAACCGGAGCUAAUACCGGAUAAUAUUUUGAACCGCAUGGUUCAAAAGUGAAAGACGGUCUUGCUGUCACUUAUAGAUGGAUCCGCGCUGCAUUAGCUAGUUGGUAAGGUAACGGCUUACCAAGGCAACGAUGCAUAGCCGACCUGAGAGGGUGAUCGGCCACACUGGAACUGAGACACGGUCCAGACUCCUACGGGAGGCAGCAGUAGGGAAUCUUCCGCAAUGGGCGAAAGCCUGACGGAGCAACGCCGCGUGAGUGAUGAAGGUCUUCGGAUCGUAAAACUCUGUUAUUAGGGAAGAACAUAUGUGUAAGUAACUGUGCACAUCUUGACGGUACCUAAUCAGAAAGCCACGGCUAACUACGUGCCAGCAGCCGCGGUAAUACGUAGGUGGCAAGCGUUAUCCGGAAUUAUUGGGCGUAAAGCGCGCGUANGCGGUUUUUUAAGUCUGAUGUGAAAGCCCACGGCUCAACCGUGGAGGGUCAUUGNAAACUGGAAAACUUGAGUGCAGAAGAGGAAAGUGGNANUUCCAUGUG
rnacentral:rRNA from 1 species